rnacentral:rRNA from 1 species
UACGAAGGGGGCUAGCGUUGCUCGGAAUCACUGGGCGUAAAGCGCACGUAGGCGGAUUGUUAAGUCAGGGGUGAAAUCCUGGAGCUCAACUCCAGAACUGCCUUUGAUACUGGCGAUCUUGAGUCCGGGAGAGGUGAGUGGAACUGCGAGUGUAGAGGUGAAAUUCGUAGAUAUUCGCAAGAACACCAGUGGCGAAGGCGGCUCACUGGCCCGGUACUGACGCUGAGGUGCGAAAGCGUGGGGAGCAAACAGGAUUAGAAC